UUACGGCCAUAUCACGUUAAAACACCAGUUACCGUACGAUCACCGAAGUUAAGCAACGUCGGGCCUGGUCAGUACCUAGAUGGGUGACUGCUUGGGAAUACCAGC